UGGGGCUUUCGGGGCUGGGGCCGGGCUCCUCGGCUGCCCCGGCCCGCCCGCCAGGAGAGGCAGCAGCACCGAAAGGCGGGGGAGAGGCUAAACCCCGGCGUUUCCUCCCAACUCGCGAAAAAAGCCUCGCCCAGGCAAAGUUGUUUGACCAUAAAAGGCGCGAGGCUGCGCACACAGCUGAGCUCACUCGCUGGGGAAUGUGGCAAUGAGGUAAAGAUGUCAGUGCAGAGCUAAAAACAUUUCAUUGCGGAAUUGCUAACCAAAUUCUGGAACACCACAGCACCCUUUACACAAUCAGCCUGACGUCAGAGAACUCUGCUGCUGUUCCCUGGGCUAGCCUUGACUCCAGAGGAAACAAAGAAUGUCUCAGACUGAGAUUAAAAAAGUGCUGAGUGAAUA